UACAUGCAAGUCGAACGCGCAGCGAAAGGUGCUUGCACCUUUCAAGCGAGUGGCGAACGGGUGAGUAACACGUGGAUAACCUGCCUCAAGGCUGGGGAUAACAUUUGGAAACAGAUGCUAAUACCGAAUAAAACUUAGUAUCGCAUGAUACAAAGUUGAAAGGCGCUACGGCGUCACCUAGAGAUGGGUCCGCGGUGCAUUAGUUAGUUGGUGGGGUAAAGGCCUACCAAGACAAUGAUGCAUAGCCGAGUUGAGAGACUGAUCGGCCACAUUGGGACUGAGACACGGCCCAAACUCCUACGGGAGGCUGCAGUAGGGAAUCUUCCACAAUGGGCGAAAGCCUGAUGGAGCAACGCCGCGUGUGUGAUGAAGGCUUUAGGGUCGUAAAGCACUGUUGUAUGGGAAGAAAUGCUAGAAUAGGGAAUGAUUCUAGUUCGACGGUACCAUACCAGAAAGGGACGGCUAAAUACGUGCCAGCAGCCGCGGUAAUACGUAUGUCCCGAGCGUUAUCCGGAUUUAUUGGGCGUAAAGCGAGCGCAGACGGUUGAUUAAGUCUGAUGUGAAAGCCCGGAGCUCAACUCCGGAAUGGCAUUGGAAACUGGUUAACUUGAGUGUUGUAGAGGUAAGUGGAACUCCAUGUGUAGCGGUGGAAUGCGUAGAUAUAUGGAAGAACACCAGUGGCGAAGGCGGC
rnacentral:rRNA from 1 species